rnacentral:lncRNA from 1 species
CCAACACCAAACCAAGUCAAACCAAACCAUAGUCGGAUUUUUUUUCUCGGUUUGACUCGAAUUAUCGGGUUGAUGUGGUUUAUCGGUUUUCUUUGUACACCCCUACCAAUUAUGUAGACCUCAAAUUUACUAUAGCCAAAUUUUGGAACAAAUUUUGAUACCUCCUAAAUAAAUUGAUUCCGUAUUCUUUAAGCUACAUCUUCAAUUCUCAUGUCCGUCAAACCCAGGAAACAUGUAUAAACUCUUAUGGAUCGUUUGAUACAAGGGAUAAGGGAUAAUUAAUCUCGAGAUUCAAUUUGAGAUAAGUUUAUUUCAUGUGCAGUUGAGAUAAAAUUACGAUAUAACGAAUUCCGAGAUUAAUUAUCGCCGGAAUUGUAGUGUUAUUCUUAUUUCUAUGAAAGGAUGAAAUAACAAUUUCGAGAUAACUAAUUCUGGAAUAAUUAAUCCUGGCCGAAUAAAAAUUUAGCAGAUUAGUGAUCUUGUCGCCUCAAGAUUAUACAAAUUAUCAUCUUUCAUCCGCAAACUACAUUGUGACAAAUAUAUAGGAUGAUAUUUGUAAUUUAAAUAAAUGAUGUUAGGGCUAACAUUUAUAUUUAAUGUAUGUACCUAAGUCAUGACUGG